CUGGAUGAACGCUAGCUACAGGCUUAACACAUGCAAGUCGAGGGGCAGCAUGGUCUUAGCUUGCUAAGGCCGAUGGCGACCGGCGCACGGGUGAGUAACACGUAUCCAACCUGCCGUCUACUCUUGGACAGCCUUCUGAAAGGAAGAUUAAUACAAGAUGGCAUCAUGAGUCCGCAUGUUCACAUGAUUAAAGGUAUUCCGGUAGACGAUGGGGAUGCGUUCCAUUAGAUAGUAGGCGGGGUAACGGCCCACCUAGUCUUCGAUGGAUAGGGGUUCUGAGAGGAAGGUCCCCCACAUUGGAACUGAGACACGGCCCAAACUCCUACGGGAGGCAGCAGUGAGGAAUAUUGGUCAAUGGGCGCAGGCCUGAACCAGCCAAGUAGCGUGAAGGAUGACUGCCCUAUGGGUUGUAAACUUCUUUUAUAAAGGAAUAAAGUCGGGUAUGGAUACCCGUUUGCAUGUACUUUAUGAAUAAGGAUCGGCUAACUCCGUGCCAGCAGCCGCGGUAAUACGGAGGAUCCGAGCGUUAUCCGGAUUUAUUGGGUUUAAAGGGAGCGUAGAUGGAUGUUUAAGUCAGUUGUGAAAGUUUGCGGCUCAACCGUAAAAUUGCAGUUGAUACUGGAUAUCUUGAGUGCAGUUGAGGCAGGCGGAAUUCGUGGUGUAGCGGUGAAAUGCUUAGAUAUCACGAAGAACUCCGAUUGCGAAGGCAGCCUGCUAAGCUGCAACUGACAUUGAGGCUCGAAAGUGUGGGUAUCAAACAGGAUUAGAUACCCUGGUAGUCCACACGGUAAACGAUGAAUACUCGCUGUUUGCGAUAUACUGCAAGCGGCCAAGCGAAAGCGUUAAGUAUUCCACCUGGGGAGUACGCCGGCAACGGUGAAACUCAAAGGAAUUGACGGGGGCCCGCACAAGCGGAGGAACAUGUGGUUUAAUUCGAUGAUACGCGAGGAACCUUACCCGGGCUUAAAUUGCAGAUGAAUUACGGUGAAAGCCGUAAGCCGCAAGGCAUCUGUGAAGGUGCUGCAUGGUUGUCGUCAGCUCGUGCCGUGAGGUGUCGGCUUAAGUGCCAUAACGAGCGCAACCCUUGUUGUCAGUUACUAACAGGUUCCGCUGAGGACUCUGACAAGACUGCCAUCGUAAGAUGUGAGGAAGGUGGGGAUGACGUCAAAUCAGCACGGCCCUUACGUCCGGGGCUACACACGUGUUACAAUGGGGGGUACAGAGGGCCGCUACCACGCGAGUGGAUGCCAAUCCCCAAAACCUCUCUCAGUUCGGACUGGAGUCUGCAACCCGACUCCACGAAGCUGGAUUCGCUAGUAAUCGCGCAUCAGCCACGGCGCGGUGAAUACGUUCCCGGGCCUUGUACACACCGCCCGUCAAGCCAUGGGAGCCGGGGGUACCUGAAGUGCGUAACCGCGAGGAGCGCCCUAGGGUAAA
rnacentral:rRNA from 1 species